GUUGAACUUUGUUUAAUUAAUUAGACCACCUGUAGUCCUGUCAAUAUGUAAUCGAUCUGAAAUGCAUUGCGACGCGUAUCCGUUUCAAGAUCGCUAUUCAAAUUUUAAGGCUGAUGCGAGCAGGCUAGCUAUUGGCCAGAAAGUGGGAAUUUACAAACACACGUUGCUCAGCAAAUAGUAGUACAUGUGAGCAUGUGCACUGAUGUUCACUAAUUGACGCAAAUCCCGUAUGUGGUAUGAUGUAUAACUGUACUUACAGAUAGAGCACUAAACAUGCUUUUUAAGUUUGUUUGCCGCUAGAGAAACGUAUCAAAAAUUUAAAAAAUUGAACUAGUCAUAACUGAGUGGAAAGGUAUAUUCAUUGGUUUUGAGUGCGUGUUACGUAACUUACAAAACAUUCCCCUCUUAAUUUGAUUGUGCACAAAUACUGAACUACAUAUUUAGUUAGAUGGUUCAAGUUCUAUCAAUAUUGUUCGUGCAAUUGUCAAUUUAAAUACAAUUAUCAACAUAACACACACAAGAUUCUCCUCUUAAUUUGAUAGUGCACAAAUGAAACUUAUACUGAACUACAUAUUUAGCUAGGUGAUUCAAUUCUAUCAAUACAUAAUUGUUCGUGCAAAUAUAGGCCUUUAAUAAUACAUUAUUUGACCUAAAAGGCUAUGGUAAUUAUAUGUAAAAAAUGUAAUCAAUAAGCUUUGCUAUCGACGACCAUUUGAACUUGACCAGCAGGUUGACCAUAAGGUGGUGGCUGUUGGUUGUAGGCCGGGUAUGCUUGUGUGGUCAUCACCACUGUAUUUGGUUGUUGAGCUGUUGUGACAAUAACAGUUGGUUCCUAUUAAGAUCAAAGAUAUAUUAUUUUUGUAUUUCCUCUAUUUACAUUUUAAAAUCACUUUGGUGAAAAUUUCCUGGUUAACCAAUGACAAUGCGAGGACUUGAAAUCUAGUCCAGUCCGAAUUGGAGCCGGAUUUGAAAUGACAUCUCAUAUAAAUAAAUCAC